UUCCAUUUCCCUCAUGGGUAGUAGCUGCUGGUGUGCUAUUCAGAAACUUUACAUUGAUCUUGUUUUAAAGUCUUCCUAAAACAUGCUAGUAGAUAUGAACAAAUAUAUAGGCCUUUACAACAAUUCAUAAUAUAUGAAUAUACACACACCUUUCCCCCUUGAAUCUAUUUCUAUUGUGUUAGAUUGCUAGAUCUUAAAUUAGCAAAAAUGAAUUAAAGAAAAUGAAAGUGUUCCUAUUGAUUAAUGUUAUUAACUCACCCUCCAAAAACUCAUGUUCUUUCCGAACUAAGAGCUAUACUGUGCCUUUGGAUUUUGUUGGAAUUAAGAACAUCUAAUCAGCAGCAUGUGCCAGUAGCUGUCACAUGAGAGAGCACAGGUACCUGAGAGCCAUCUUCCACACUGUAUAUUAUCUAAGACUUUCACUAGAGAAGGAAUGUAGCCCAGUAUUUAAUUUUCAUUCUUAGAUUAUUAGUGAGGUUGAGUAUAUUUAGUAACUGAAAGCAAAUCUGCUUUUAAGUGUGAAAAAUAGCAGCACUUCAAGGGGUUGGGAGAUGGCUCAGUGGGUGAUCUGGCAAGGCUGCAAAGGCCUGAGUUCGAAUCCACAGCAUCCAUGUAGAAAGCCAGACAUGACUAUGCACAUUCCUGUAACUCCAGAAUUGAGGGUAGGGGACAGGCAGAUUCCAAGAAUUUGCAGGCCAGCCAGUCUAUCAGAAAUGGUAAGUUUCCCCCUUCAGUAAAAGACCCUGCCUCAAGGCAAUAAAGUGGCAAGGAAAGAAAGAUACCCGAUAUCCUGGGAACCUCGGCAUGUACUCACACACAUAUAUCACAUGUGCAAACACACACACACACACACACAGCACACAUAAACAUAUACCAUACACACCCCACACAUAUGCAACACACAGAACACAUGAACAUACAUACACAUACACCACACACACACACACACACACACAUACACAACCACACACAUGAUAAAAAACACAGUAACACUCUGAGAGCCUGGCACUUGGGAAUCCACUUGAAAUACUGCAGGAAGGAGUCUGUUUAUGGAACUACUAGAACCAAGAAGGGAAAUGCCUUACUCCUGAAAUUCCCUGCAGCUCAGUCUACUGAUAAAGCUUAGCAGAAUGCCAUCAACAAACGUAAUGAGCCUUUUAAAAAUAUUUGUGUGUGUGUGCACGCUUCUGCAUGCGAAGGUCAGAGUUGGCAUUGGGUGCCCCCUCUCUCUCCACUUAUUCUUUGAAGCUGGGUCUUUUCCUGCCCCUGCCCCCCCCACGGCCCCAGGCUGGUGUUUUCUCAGGUAGACCCAAAAGGACUAGAAGCCCUAGGCUCCUGUAUCUGCCCUUUCAGACCUGGAGUUACAGGCAUCUGCUGGCAUGUAGGUGCUGAGAUCCAGAUCUGAGUCUCAAAUGUCCUUGCUCACUGAGCCAUCUCUCCAGCCACCCCUCCCCACUUUGAGAUAGGGUCUUGUUACAUAGCCCAGAGUAGUCUCAAACUCAUGAUUCUUCAUCCUCAAUGCUCUUGUCUCAGAUUUAACAGACAGCUCCAAAUUUUUGCUCCUCUACAAAUCAGUCUUCCUACCCCACAUAGGAUCCUGCAUUCCACAGCUAUAGCUUCACAUUUGCUUCUGUUCACUCUCUGUAGUGGAGACGAAUUUCAAUAGUUGGGAUGGGGUUUGAUGAUUAUCUCCAUGUAAAUGUAUGAAAUCAAGUGGUCUCAAAGUAACAUCCAUUUUUUGUUUCUCUGGCACAGGUAAUACUGCAAGAUCAUGUUGAAUACAAGAUAUGAGGGACAGCUAUCACCUGUGUUUAAUCUCACUUUCAGAUUUGUACUCUCAUCACUGAGCAUGGACUUGAAGAAUUAUCAUUACCCAUCAUGCUGCUGGACUGACUCCAGGUUGGAUGAUCAAUGUCAAGGCUAUGAGGCAUGCAUGAGAGGCAGUAACCAGAUCUCUGACAUCCCACAUUGUGAACAGAGUGCUGGCGUUACAGAAGUCUGUCCUACUUCAUCUUCAUUCUGAUGGGAGCCGGUCCCCAGAUCUUGGGCUGUGAAGCUAUGUAGAUGCUUGACUCUGUACACCAAUAUAAAGUCCAGAUGGAGGCCAAUGUGUUUUUAUGUACGAUUAUAAUACUUAGGAAGUAACUGUGAAGACCUGACAACUACUUAACCAAAACAACUCCCAAGAUUUUAAUCAAGUCAUUUGGAAAAAAAGAUUAUUAUUUAUAAAUAACCAUGCCCACAUGAUUUAGAAGUAUGUGUUAAACAAUAUGGAAAUAAGCUAGAUGGUAGGGUUGCUAUGAGACUACUGACGUCACAACUGCAUCACCACCAAGUACUCAUGUCUCACUGACUGACUCUAAAAACCAAUGUACUUGUUAAUCCAUUUGUGUUCCAAUAUUAUUUUAUAAUCCUAUAUAUUAUAUGCUACAAGAAAGUCCAUACAAACCAUCGGUGUUCAGAUAAAUGCAUCAGUAGGUUUUUCUAUCCUAAUUUCCAACACUUGUUUCAGCAAACAUUCUCUGCUUCACGGAGAGGCAGCUGGUCCUGAGCAGUUGUCUGCUGGCCACCUGCUAUGGUUAAGGUGUGGGGAGUGACUCCAUGUUAUGAUGCUCUGGACAGAUGGGGACCUUCCCCUCAGAAGCAUUUACUUAUGAUCAGACUAAACUAGAAAAAUAGAAGGACUCCAGUACCAGGCUUUUUAAGAUUCAGGAAGAAGACAAUUAAGUUUCUUCCACCAACUAUGAUGUAGAACAAAGCACCAGAGUGGGGGAAAAGAGUGGAGUAUGAUUUCACUAAGUCUUGACAUGGAAUCUUUUUUUAUUUUGUGAUAAAAAAUGUUUUCAUAUAAAUUUCAUCUUAAACUACUUGUAGAAUGAAAAAAUUUUAAAGUAAAACAGUACGCACUUUCCUUCCUAUGUUUAUAGUCAGGAGCAUGCAGUCAUUUUCUGGUUACUGAGUUUCUCAUACAAAUAGAUAUAAUGUCACUUUUCAGGGAAAUGUAUACAAGGAAGUUGCCACAGUACCAAAACAGUUAUGGGUGGGGGCCUCAGGAUAUAGACAUGUGUCCUUCCAAACAGUCCUCAUACAUUCAAGGCGCUGGUUCAAGUGUAGGUUCUCAAACCACACGCUAACAGACCUCAUACCUUUGAUUCUUUUCUAUGCGAGGCUUACGAGCAACCAAGUUCAAUCAAGUGCUGUGGCAGACCUGUGCUGAGGCCUUUCACUGACAUCUUCAACUCAGCCUCUUUCCUUCAGGCCCCACCAUCACAUAAGUCAGAAAACGAUGCUUAAAACAAACAAAAGAACAACUGGAAAAAUUCUCAAAGGCAUGUGGAAGUCAAACAAAGGAAGAAUUCAUGGAAAUAAAAAUAAAUCCAAAACAGGGAUCUAUGCGUGGACUAAAGGAUGUGUCCUAUAAGAACCUAGCUUCUGAUUCAGACCCCAUGAGAAAAGGGUUACCCACCGCUUCCUUACAUAGGUCAAGAGUUCUAUCAUCUAAGGGAUGGACCAGAGGCAUAAUUGGCAGUUGUCCUCAUCUCUGUAGCCUGUUGUCUGUAAUGGCAGCUUUUACAUCCCUCCUCCUAAACCCUAGAUCUACUUUGAGUGAUCCUGGAAGGAGAAACAGCAAGUUUGUUCUCCAUUGUGUCUGGGGAAGGACCAGGGUAUUACAGACCCAGUGGCUGGAUUAGAGGCUGUUGUUCCCAGGCAGUGGCACUAGAGCCGGGGGCAGAGAGGUCCACACACACAGGCUCUCUUAAUCUGGGACUGUCCAUGGGGGGGACAGUCACCAUUUAGGGCAGUAAAAUGUCUGUACACCAUGAAAAGGGUUGGUAGGAUGAUGUCACCUCAUGAGAAUAAAACCGAAUGACCAAACGUAAUCUGCCAUAGACCAGGACGGAACAAAUUGAUUUUGUUGAUUGAAUGAACUUGGAUGGGACUAAAAAUUCCCCAUUUGUUUAUAGACUACCAUGGUAACAGGCACAGAGUUACUACAGGGGGCCAAAAAUUGACAAUGAGAGGGGGGCACUUACUUCAACUAUUGCAGAAAUAAAGACUAUUAAAGUAAUGACAAAAAACUCUAAAACAAACAAUCCCCCCGCCCCAGGUGAUCUCCCUACUAAUAUACACAAAUGCUCCAGCAGAACUCAUUUUCCUUGUGUCAUGGGCAUCAUGGCACCACGGAAAAGCAAUGGGAUGCUGCAGGGUCAAUUAUUAAGUGACUGAGGGGAAAGAUGGAGAAAACCACCAUCCCAGUUUUACAAAUCCUUCUGCUCUUGAGAGUCCGAGAGACCACUGAGACCACAAUACAAGAAGCAGGAUUGGAGGUACAAUCUUAGUCUGAACACAAGGACAAUGCAGAGCAAGUCUCAGCCAUCACCAGCUGAAGGUGACCCUAGAGAAAGUCGAAAAUGAAGCAAAGACAAAGACCGCUUCAUCUGUGUGCUCAGGGGACCGUCCAUUCUCCACUUCUGCAACCCGAACACAGAUUCCACGUCUUUCCUGAGAACCCACUGUGUGCACCAAUGGCGCAGAUCACACAGUGUGGAGGGAAUCAGAUAAACUAGCCUCUGACCUAAAAGAAAACUGGUCAUUAGUAAGGCGACAGUCAUUGGGUCCCCUGAACCUCCGGCAAGCUCAGUCCUAAGUGGCGAGGGCAUCUAUGAGGAGCAGUGCAGCAGCCAAGAGUACCUUCAUCUGUUGGAUCAAUGAGUCCUGGGAUUUGGGGAUAAAUGUGCUUCACAGUGGCAGUCAGUGGAGGGCCUGCAGGUGGGCAAUUGCUUCUUGAGUGAGUUAGCUUAUCUCUUGGUCAUUCCAACAUUCUCCCACUUUUCCUGCUUUACAACAAAAUGGGAGUAUCAUAGUACCUAGGUCUCCUAGAGUACACGUUUAUACUGACUAGGCCAACAUGCAGAAGAACAAUUUAUAUCCUUCCUCCUGGUGAGUGUAUAUGGGGCCCCAUGCCCACAUGUGGGAGAGAGAAUUAAGGUGCAGGUUCAGAAGGGGUCUCCUAUCCCUCGAAUAUCUUGCUUUCUCCUUCCUUUCAGGAAUGAAAGAUGAAGACUGCAGUGUGUACGUUUACCAUAGAAGCAUACUUCAAAGGCCGAGGCUGAGAACCAUAACCAGAGUAAACCCUGUGAGGCUCCGUUGGGGUACUGGGCAUGUGGAAACACAGGCUGAUGUUUUUCAGGGCAGGAAUGAUUAAAAGCACAAAAGUCUUGCCUAUUACACACUGAUGGGGAUCAGCCACAGAGAGGUGCAGAGAGGACAGCACCAAGUGAAGUCAAGGCAGUUUCCAGGUUGAGAAGAUAAGACAGGUGGACCUGGGCAGAAUCCCAGGCACAAUUCCCAGUCAGACUCCCAGAAGAAUCUCCUCCUGGUUACAGAAGCCCCCAGGGCUUAAAAUGAUGUUCAAGCUGCAAGAAAUGUCUGGCUGUAAAAGGCCUCCAUCGUAUUCUCCAAAAAGAAGAGAGUGAGCCUCUUGGAUUCAUCUUGCAUCUCCAUGAACUUGUCCGAUGGUCACAGAUCAGCAGAGUGGAGUCCUCCCCUAAAUCUGCACAGAUAUUCAGUGAAGAUAAAUGCAAUGCUUCUCUUGCUUGUUGGAAAGUUGGGGGCAUCUUCUCUCCUGCCUCCAAAAGCUGGUUACAGAGGUUUCUUCAUUUCUCUUCGGAUAACCUUCAUUUGUUCCUCAGCAGCAUGCUCAAUAGGCACUUUCAUCUCUAUGCCCGAGGCCGACUCUUCAAGCAUAAACCUGCAUGUUGCUGUGUGGCGGCUCAGACAUGUGUGUUCCAGGUCCCCGCUGACCUCCUCCACCACCACCGGGAGUAGGGCUGGUGGUCACAUCUGACCAGUCAGAAGCAGAGUGGGGGGAAGAGCUUGACCACUGGUCAGGAGACUCUGGGGAUGGUGUCAGGUAGGGAUGCUCACCCUGGAGGUGACCGCCGUGACUGGGGGUUCUCUCAGCAGCAUUUGAAGAGGCGUAGCUGUGCUGGGAGGGGGGUGUGGGGUACUUCCCCACAGAAGCUGGGAAUGGAUGAUAGGUUGGAACAAUGAUCUGAGCUACCUGCCCCUCCUGCUGGGGCAUCAUGGUAGGUGGGAAAGCCACACUAGGCAAACGGGCCAUCUCUGGGAUCUGGUACAUAGAAGGCAAGGGGCCUGCAACAGUUGGAGGGCAGUUGGACUGUGUCUGAGGAGUUCCAGCUGCCUGGGCAAUGCUGCCUUUUGGGAUGAGCUGGAAAGUCACAAUGGGGGGCAAGGGUUCCCGCUGGGUGGAGAUGUGCUUCCCCUCCGGUGGUCUGCUCUGAGGAGCCAGGCCAGGGUGGGCUCCCUCAGCAGGAGCCAGGACCAUGCCAAACAUUUCAUUGUACUGGGUCUCAUUCACCUCCACACGGUUCAUCCAGUCUGCUGGGACAGUCACUGGAUGUAGCCUGCCCAAGCUUCCUGCACUACCGCUGCCGGGGGGGACGAUGUGGUGGUGGGCUAACAGCUGGCUGACUGAGGGAAGCACAGUGCUGCCUCCAGGAGCCAGGGGCUGCAUUUCAUGAAGGUUAGAGAAAGACAGCGCAUGCUGGGCAUGCACGGGGGCAGCUGGGGCAGCAGCAGCCAGCAGCGGGGUGGGUGAGGCCUGUAAGAUCCCAGGGGAUGUAAUCAUGGGAGAGGAUGUGGCAUCGGAAACAUAGGUGUGAGGAGACUCGAGAGAAUCAACAGGGGAUAAAGUCACCGAGCUCUCGGACAGCUGGACCUUCUCGCUCAGAGAUUUCUUCCUCCGAUUCCCCUUGCUAUCCUUGGCCUCCUUGGCAAGGUUAGGCAGGCUCGUGGGCAUGGUGCUCUUGGUGUUGGGCCGUCUAGCCUUCUUACCCAUGGGGGUAUGCUUCAGACUGAGGAAAGACCUGUUGGGUCCACAAAGGACAGGUGACAGAGCUGAUGUCAGUACAGUUCCUGGAGGGCUUGGAGUCACGUUAUACUCGUCCAGGAGGCGAACAAUGUCAUGGUGCAUGCGAUCCCGAGCCACAUCCCGAGGAAGGCGGUCCAUGUGGUCUGUGAUGUCCCGAUUGGCAAAAUGGUCUAACAGGAUCUUGGCUGCUUCAUAACUUCCCUCCCGGGCAGCGAGGAACAAAGGUGUCUCUUCCUGAAGAAAGACACAAGAACACAUCUUAAUACCCAGAGAACAUAAGAAUGUUUCUAUCUCUGUCCCCACCCCCAUCCCCAUUUACCCAGGAAAUGUUAUCUAUUUUCCCUUCCCUGGGUGAUCCAUAUGUCCCUGUUACCUAACUUUUCAGGGGCGAGGGCGGGUGGCAGACUGUGGUUGGUAUGUAAAAUGAAUUAAAAAAAGAGAGUGUUUCUAACCUUUA